rnacentral:misc_RNA from 1 species
GAUGAGAACGUAGCGAAAUGCGAUAAGUAAUGUGAAUUGCAGAAUUCAGUGAAUCAUCGAAUCUUUGAACGCACAUUGCGCCCGCUAGUAUUCUGGCGGGCAUGCCUGUUCGAGCGUCAUUUCAACCAUCAAGCCCUAGGCUUGCGUUGGAGCCCUGCGGCUGCCGCAGGCUCCCAAAUCCAGUGGCGGGCUCGUCGUCGUACCGAGUGCAGUAAACAUCCUCGCUCAGGGAACGUGACGGGUUCUUGCCGUGAAACCCCCCACAUAUCAAGGUUGACCUCGGAUCAGGUAGGAAUACCCGCUGAACUUAAGCAUAUCAAUAAGCGGAGGA